CAAUUUGUGUUUAUGAUUCAAGAAAACUAUCUUAUUAAGUAGUUUAAAGUUUAAUUUGAAAAUCGUCGUCGGGGGUCGUUUGAAUAAUGAUUGUCGGUCUGUCGUCGUGAGAAGAAUAGUGAAAAAACUGGGAAUAAAAAGACGAAAGCAUCCAAGCAAGAAUACCCGAGGCUGACCUUCAAAAUGAAAAUCUUAUUAGGAUGCUAGCAGCCCCACCUGUCUGCUAAGAGAAGGAGACACACUUUCCGGACUCAAUCAACUCGAAAUGUCGUGGAGAGCAAUAUAGGACCUCACUCGGUCGGCGGCAGGUAAGCAGCAGUUUCCGGUGCGCGGGCAACCACCGGAAUCAAAUGGAUAUUGUUUCAAUCCAAUCCAAUCGAAUCGUCUUGGCAUUGGGCUCGAGUCCGGUUUUAUC